rnacentral:rRNA from 1 species
UACGUAGGGGGCAAGCGUUGUCCGGAAUCAUUGGGCGUAAAGCGCGUGUAGGCGGCCCGGUAAGUCCGCUGUGAAAGUCCAGGGCUCAACCCUGGGAUGCCGGUGGAUACUGUCGGGCUCGAGUCCGGAAGAGGAGUGUGGAAUUCCUGGUGUAGCGGUGAAAUGCGCAGAUAUCAGGAGGAACACCAAUGGCGAAGGCGGAUCUCUGGGCCUUACCUGACGCUCAGGCGCGAAAGCUAGGGGAGCGAACUGG